CCUACGGGAGGCAGCAGUGAGGAAUAUUGGUCAAUGGACGCAAGUCUGAACCACCCAUGCCGCGUGCAGGAAGACGGCUCUAUGAGUUGUAAACUGCUUUUGUACGAGGGUAAACGCAGAUACGCGUAUCUGUCUGAAAGUAUCGUACGAAUAAGGAUCGGCUAACUCCGUGCCAGCAGCCGCGGUAAUACGGAGGAUUCAAGCGUUAUCCGGAUUUAUUGGGUUUAAAGGGUGCGUAGGCGGUCGGAUAAGUUAGUGGUGAAAUCCCGAGGCUCAACUUCAGAAUUGCAUAUGAUACUGGUCGUCUAGAGAGCAGUAGAGGUAGGCGGAAUGUAUGGUGUAGCGGUGAAAUGCUUAGAGAUCAGACAGAACACCGAUUGCGAAGGCAGCUUACCAAGCUACUACUGACGUUGAGGCACGAAAGCGUGGGGAGCAAACAGGAUUAGAUACCCUUGUAGUC
rnacentral:rRNA from 1 species